UACGUAGGGGGCAAGCGUUGUCCGGAAUCAUUGGGCGUAAAGCGCGUGUAGGCGGCUCGAUAAGUCCGCUGUGAAAGUCCAGGGCUCAACCCUGGGAUGCCGGUGGAUACUGUCGAGCUCGAGUCCGGAAGAGGCGAGUGGAAUUCCUGGUGUAGCGGUGAAAUGCGCAGAUAUCAGGAGGAACACCUAUGGCGAAGGCAGCUCGCUGGGACGUGACUGACGCUGAGACGCGAAAGCGUGGGGAGCAAACAAG
rnacentral:rRNA from 1 species